rnacentral:tRNA from 1 species
UAGAGAUUAGUAUAGUGGAAGUACGGGGAAUUUUGGAGUCCCAGGUGUUAGUUCAAUUCUAAUUUCUCUAU